rnacentral:rRNA from 1 species
AACGAACGCUGGCGGCGUGUUUAAGACAUGCAAGUCGCACGGUGUCAUUUUGGUAGCAAUACUUGAAUGGCAUAGUGGCGCACGGGUGAGUAACACGUGAAUUACAUGCCCUGUAGAGGGGGAUAGCCCAGGGAAACUUGGAUUAAUACCCCAUGGUCUCGCAAGAGUAAAGGUGGCCGCAAGGCUGUCGCUCCAGGAUUGGUUCGCGCCCUAUCAGCUUGUUGGCGGGGUAACGGCCCACCAAGGCUACGACGGGUACCUGGUCUGAGAGGACGAUCAGGCACACUGGAACUGAGACACGGUCCAGACACCUACGGGUGGCAGCAGUCGAGAAUAAUUCACAAUGGGGGCAACCCUGAUGGUGCAACGCCGCGUGGAGGAUGACGGUCUUCGGAUUGUAAACUCCUGUCAUCCGGGAGUAAGACCUGGGAGUUAAUAGCUCACAGGGUUGAUAGUACCGGAAGAGGAAGGGACGGCUAACUUCGUGCCAGCAGCCGCGGUAA